CCAACCAAACCUCAACAAGCGGCACUAAAUAUCAGUUACUGUCUCACUCAAUUUCAUGGAUUCCACCUCGCCCCCAUUUGUUAUCCUCUCACUCAGUAGGGGUUGAAAAUUUUGAAAGAGUAAAAGGGUUGAGUUUCCUUGUGGAUACCAUUACUAUUCAUGUCCAACUCAUGUAAUUUUUUAAUUUUUUCUUUCAAAGUUGCAGUAACUCAUAUUCACCUUCUUACUAUGUCACAACUUCACCUCCAUUUUCUUCACAUACCAUCCCUUUCCUCAACAUAACAACACAAACCACACACAUCAACAAAACCUCCAUUCUUCAUUACACCAAAACUCACUUCUUCAUUCACAUCAUAAAACCAUAACCUUGUUUUUUUCUCUCAUGUAGACAACCUCAAUCCAUGCACACUAUUCCUUCUUCAUCUACACAUACCUUACAUCAUCUCUUAUCUUCAUGCUAUUAUUAGCCAUUCACAACACAACUUCCACAAAACCAUAAAAGCCUUCACUUUACUCCAUCAACUACACUUUAUUUCAAAACUCUUUAUCAUCUUCAUAAAACCUCUCAUGCUAUUUCAUUUAUUCCAACCAUAUACAUCCUCCAUAUUUUCACUAGCUCAUACUUCACACACCAUGAAAACAUAACCAAACAAACUUUUUCCUUCAUAAAACUACCACCUUGUCACUCUAUUUUCAACAACCAUAAGCCAUUUUCAUACCACCAUAAGCUCAUUCCUAUAUUCUACCAUUUUCCAUCUCAGACUUCAUGAAACCACAACCAACCAUAACUCCUCAUCUCUUUUAUUCAUCCUUCAUAAAUCUUGAACUCACAUAAAACAUUCACUCUUUCACUCAUAAACACAAAACCUCACUUUUCCUUUUGAUUCUCUCAUGGAUCCAUCUCCAUAAACAUCAUUACACUACAAAAUCUCACCACCACUACACAUCAUUUUUCCGAGUCAGCUUCGACGUUGUACGUUAACUCUUUCUUUAAUAUCUCUUUUGUUCAUAUUGAUUCAGUGAGUUCAUUUGCUUUGGUGUUUGUUUUAUUGUUGUUAAAAAAAGGAGAGAGAGAGAAGAGAGAAGAGAGAGAGAGAGAGAGAGAAAUUUGUGUGAGUUUUAUUUGUUUUUCAUUCAUUUAAUAUGUAUAUAUUUGGUAGCUAUUUCACUUAUUUUGUUUCAUUUAAGUGUAUCAUUUGGAAAGAAAAAAAAGAAUGAUGCCAUGUGUAUUAUUUGGAUAGUUAGGUGUUAAGUUUUUUAUUAAAAAAAUUGUGUAGUAAGGAGCAGCAGUGCAGGCGCUGCCUCCACUUGUUUUUUUUACUAUGUUUCUGUUUAUUUAUUUUUACUUCAUUUUAUUUUUGUUUCUAUUUUCUCUAUCUUGGUUUUGUAUGGAUUAAGGAUUGUAGUGGGCUUUGGGCUCUAUUUGCUAGGACAACCCCAUGUCAACAUUUACAUGUUUUCUAUUUUGUUUUUUGUUUUUUUAUUUAUUCUUUUAUUUUUUGAUUAGUUCAAUUAUUUAGUUAGUAAUUAAUUAUUAUUACUAUUUUAA
rnacentral:lncRNA from 1 species